rnacentral:rRNA from 1 species
GACGAACGCUGGCGGCGUGCCUAAUACAUGCAAGUCGAACGCAUUUUCUUUCACCGUAGCUUGCUACACCGAAAGAAAAUGAGUGGCGAACGGGUGAGUAACACGUGGGUAACCUGCCCAUCAGCGGGGGAUAACACUUGGAAACAGGUGCUAAUACCGCAUAAUUCCAUUUACCGCAUGGUAGAUGGGUGAAAGGCGCUUUUGCGUCACUGAUGGAUGGACCCGCGGUGCAUUAGCUAGUUGGUGGGGUAACGGCCUGCCAAGGCUGCGAUGCAUAGCCGACCUGAGAGGGUGAUCGGCCACACUGGGACUGAGACACGGCCCAGACUCCUACGGGAGGCAGCAGUAGGGAAUCUUCGGCAAUGGACGCAAGUCUGACCGAGCAACGCCGCGUGAGUGAAGAAGGUUUUCGGAUCGUAAAACUCUGUUGUUAGAGAAGAACAAGGAUGAGAGUGGAAAGUUCAUCCCUUGACGGUAUCUAACCAGAAAGCCACGGCUAACUACGUG